UAACGCGUAGGAACCUAUCGCGCAGUGGGGGAUACCGCUGGAAACCGGUGUUAAUACCGCAUGUGGUCAGCGAUGACGAAAGCAGCAAUGCGCUGUGUGAGGGGCCUGCGUCCGAUUAGCUAGUUGGUGGGGUAAAGGCCUACCAAGGCGACGAUCAGUAGCUGGUCUGAGAGGAUGAUCAGCCACACUGGGACUGAGACACGGCCCAG
rnacentral:rRNA from 1 species